rnacentral:sRNA from 1 species
UUUUAGCCGCGGGUGAAGCGGCAUCCUUUUUCAUAAAAUAGGCGCCUUUUCGGCGCCUAUUUUAUGAAAAAGAUAUAGCGGAACACGGGAUUGCUU